UUACCAAGAAUGGAUUUUGUUGAUGCACAAGAUCCCUCUCUACCAAGAAUGGAUUUUACUGACCCACAAGAUCCUUCUCUACAAAGAAUGGAGUUUGCCGAUCCACAAGACCCAUCUCUACCAAAAGUGAAUUUGGCUGAUGCACAAGGCCCAUCUGUA